GACGAACGCUGGCGGCGUGCCUAAUACAUGCAAGUCGAGCGAAUCGAUGGGAGCUUGCUCCCUGAGAUUAGCGGCGGACGGGUGAGUAACACGUGGGUAACCUGCCUGUAAGACUGGGAUAACUUCGGGAAACCGGAGCUAAUACCGGAUACGUUCUUUUCUCGCAUGAGGAGAGAUGGAAAGAUGGUUUCGGCUAUCACUUACAGAUGGACCCGCGGCGCAUUAGCUAGUUGGUGAGGUAACGGCUCACCAAGGCGACGACGCGUAGCCGACCUGAGAGGGUGAUCGGCCACAAUGGGACUGAGACACGGCCCAGACUCCUACGGGAGGCAGCAGUAGGGAAUCUUCCGCAAUGGACGAAAGUCUGACGGAGCAACGCCGCGUGAGCGAAGAAGGCCUUCGGGUCGUAAAGCUCUGUUGUUAGGGAAGAACAAGUACAAGAGUAACUGCUUGUACCUUGACGGUACCUAACCAGAAAGCCACGGCUAACUACGUGCCAGCCGCCGCAGUAACAC
rnacentral:rRNA from 1 species